AUACGGAGGAUGCAAGCGUUAUCCGGAUUUAUUGGGUUUAAAGGGUGCGUAGGCUGACGUGUAAGUCAGAGGUGAAAUCUCCGGGCUCAACCUGGGAACUGCCUUUGAUACUGCAUGUCUGGAGUUCGGAUGCCGUGGGAGGAAUGGGCAGUGUAGCGGUGAAAUGCAUAGAUAUUGCCCAGAACACCGAUUGCGAAGGCAUCUCACGAAUCCGACACUGACGCUGAGGCACGAAAGCGUGGGGAUCAAACAGGAUUAGAUACCCUGGUAGUCCACGCAGUAAACGAUGAUAACUAACCGUCGGCGAUAGACAGUCGGUGGCCAAGCGAAAGCGAUAAGUUAUCCACCUGGGGAGUACGUUUGCAAGAAUGAAACUCAAAUGAAUUGGCGGGG
rnacentral:rRNA from 1 species